rnacentral:antisense_RNA from 1 species
GGUAACCAAGUAUUACUCUUGGAUCUAAUGUAGGACUGACUAACCUAACUUCUCCACCACCAGGUGCCCAUGUAUCAUAAGCGCCUCCGAUGAACAUCCAAUCAAAAACGAAAAAUAAUGCACCAACGCCUAAAACUAUUAGGUGAUAACCCAAAAUAUUAGUCAUUUGAUUCUUAUCUCUCCA